GAGGCUAGGGAUAGCAAGCCAGCAAUUAGUAAUAGGCUCUUCUCGCCGAGGGAUCGGGUGAAGGGUAGGCCAAGAAAGUUUGCAUAACAAUUAGAUUACAAAGCAAUUUAAACAAGAGGAGUAGAUAAGAGAGGGCAGAUAAGAUGAAAUUGUAAACCCCCAACAACUCCAUUCAUCCAUAGUCUUUUUCUUGUCAACUAAAUCAAACACAUUGCAUGUUUAUUUUCUGUCUUUGCAUUCCAAACAAUUAAUUUUUCUCUACAAGUUUUACGAUUUCGCUUCGCACGAACGAUAAGGCCUUUCGAGUCUCUUGGGAAGAACGAUAUCGGACAUUACCGAUUAUAUUACUUGAACGAUCUGGUUCACUUGCCAGUGAGUCAACAACAAUCAAUCAGCAUAAGAACAUGUAAUUCAUCAACAACAUGUGCAUGUUAUUAAGCAAUGUGUUGUCAUCAUCAAAAACUAGAUUGACAUGUAAAUGAUAACUCCCCCUGAAAUGCAGGCAUGUGAAGAAAAAUGUGUAAAAUGUAAUACUCCC
rnacentral:lncRNA from 1 species